rnacentral:rRNA from 1 species
UACAGAGGUCUCAAGCGUUGUUCGGAUUCAUUGGGCGUAAAGGGUGCGUAGGCGGCGCGGUAAGUCGGGUGUGAAAUCUUGGAGCUUAACUCCGAAACUGCAUUCGAUACUGCCGUGCUUGAGGACUGGAGAGGAGACUGGAAUUUACGGUGUAGCGGUGAAAUGCGUAGAUAUCGUAAGGAAAACCAGUGGCGAAGGCGGGUCUCUGGACAGUUCCUG